GGGCCAGGCGUGAAAUGACAUGGUUUGGCUUUGUGUCCCCACCCAAAUCUCAUUUUGAAUUGUAUUUCCCUAAUUUUCAUGUGUUGUGGCUGGCACUCAGUGGGAGGUAAUUGAGUCACGG